UAAUACGUAGGGGGCAAGCGUUAUCCGGAUUUAUUGGGCGUAAAGCGUGUGUAGGCGGUUUAUUAAGUCUAAGAUUAAAGCCCGAGGCUCAACCUCGGUUCGUCUUAGAAACUGGUAAACUUGAGUGUAGUAGAGGCAAGUGGAAUUUCUAGUGUAGCGGUUAAAUGCGUAGAUAUUAGAAGGAACACCAGUGGCGAAGGCGACUUGCUGGGCUAUUACUGACGCUGAGGCACGAAAGCGUGGGGAGCAAAUAGGA
rnacentral:rRNA from 1 species